rnacentral:rRNA from 1 species
GCAGUCGAACGAGAACGGAUUAUAGCUUGCUAUAAUUGUCAGCUAAGUGGCGCACGGGUGAGUAAUGUAUAGAUAACCUGCCCUUAAGAAAGGAAUAACAGUUGGAAACGACUGCUAAUGCCCUAUAUGCCUUUAAUACAUAAGUAUGCAAGGGAAACGCUUUAGUGCUUAAGGAUGGGUCUGUAUGGUAUCAGCUUGUUGGUGAGGUAAUGGCUCACCAAGGCUAUGACGCCUAACUGGUUUGAGAGGAUGAUCAGUCACACUGGAACUGAGACACGGUCCAGACUCCUACGGGAGGCAGCAGUGGGGAAUAUUGCACAAUGGACGAAAGUCUGAUGCAGCAACGCCGCGUGGAGGAUGACACAUUUCGGUGCGUAAACUCCUUUUAUAUAGGAAGAUAAUGACGGUACUAUAUGAAUAAGCACCGGCUAACUCCGUGCCA